rnacentral:misc_RNA from 1 species
AGAGAGAGAGAGAGAGAGAGAAAGGGAGCAAUACAGCCAGAAAACAAAUUAUAAGCUUUUCAUAUGCUGUUCACAUGCAUAAUUGAAAGUUCUUAAAUAUCUGCUGCAACUGUUGAAAGUCAGCUUCGCUUGUCAGGACUCACUUGUGUUUAUCAUGCAAUUGCAAUGACUACGAUACUUUCAGCAUGCUCAGUUGCUGGCACCCCCUCCAUUUCAAUGUCCAUUGUUCAGAUCUUAUUUCCCAAGGAUCCAUUUCAUCGGUCUAAGUUUCCAUAAACCAGAUGGUACCCUCCAGGCUCCCACCUUGCUUGUUUUGAUCCAAACAGAACUAGAAUAAGGAGUUCUUCAGUGCCAAUGGCCUGAAUAUUUACUUCAAAUUGGAAGCAGCAUAUGCUGUAUCAUUCAUAUCCGGUCUUGUUCCAAUGCAUCCACAAAAUUUGAAGUCAGGCGUUUAGACACUGAUAAUAAAUUCAAUGAAAGCAAAGCAUUUAGAUCCCAUGCAAACUGCUAAUUACAAAUGAUAAAUCGCAAAUGCCAGAGCUGAAAGUUUAUGUUAUCUUGACAUCUCGAAGAAGCCGAGCAGCCAUUGAGCCAAGCCUUCUUGCUUCCCAGUCAGUAAGUUUUGCUUUUGGAAACUUUAUCGCUAGUUCACAAUCUUCUUGAGCUUUUUCAUUAUUGCAAUAAUCCGUGUUAUUCAUGUUAUUACUAUUCCCACCAUUGUCAUCUUUUGGUAUUUCACUUCCAGUUUCAACUUCAUCAGCUUGCUGAUCAAUCUUAUGAGUCAUGUUUUCUAUACUCCCAGAUGGAGGCUUUAAUCCCAUGAUGUAAAGUUGGAUGCUUGGAUGCUGGUACUUACUGUCCAUCUUAGCCUUUGGAACGAUUUUCACUUCAAAGUUUCUUUUCCACAUAUCAAGCAUCUGCUCAUGAACACUUGUAGAACGGAUCUCAUACCCCAUCAAAAUUGUGGUUUUGGGUCCAGACAAAGCAAAUACUGUCUGCAACAGUGGUUCCAAGAGAUGCUCUGCGUAAACAACAUCUGUGCCAAUGAUGUAGUCGAAUGGUGGAUCAACAGCCCUUAUAUGAUCCUGGUUUCCCCAGUCCAGUUCUGCAGCCUUGAUUGAACCGAAUGACUCUACAAGGAUAACACAUUCCACACUUCCAUGAGAUAUACUGUUUAUACAUUACUCUCAAAUUAAGGUCCAAGUACAACUCACUAAAACCCUGCAUCUGAUGGAUAAAGCACCUCCACACUGGUUAGAAGAAGAGAGAGAGUACGCAUGACAUCUGACCACAACAUUGUCUAAGUGUCUCAAAGCACACCUGAAUUAGCAUCCAUCUGCGUGAUUCUUGAUGUAUUACGCUCUACAUUUCUCGUUAGCAAUGGCACAACCUCUAUUUGGUCUGUUGCAACAACCUCACAACCUAACAGUGCCAUCCCAAAUCCAGCAACUCCACAACCUGCUCCAAGUUCAAUAACACGCUUUCCCUUCAGUUUGGAUGGGCAAAACCGUCCCUUUCUGCAAUUCUUUUCCAGAAAUUUAACAAACACCAUUGAUGCAUCCCAAACUGUAGUUCCUAAAUGCUUUGAAUUUGGAUCCUGAGAGAAUUGCAGUUGAUGGCCGAGGAUUUCAAGAAUAAUUGAAGAGGUGCUUGGAGAAUUUAACCUGUCAUGCUCCAUUGAUCCAAGUUUUCAGAAGAGAAGAAAUGUUUUCUUAGUACACAGUACACCCACGCAGGGCCGACUAAAGUAAUAGAGGAAUGAUAUGUUUUCCUGAGAUGAAGGAACUCCGUGAACUACUUUUGCUGUUACUAGGAAAGAAGUAGAAUGUUGUGAGAAGGAAGAAACUCGCAGACGGGCAAACGGAGAGGAAAAACCAGAUUCUUUGACGCUCGGGAUUCUUAGUACCAGUAAGAAAGGCUCGUGGGAUUUGGGAUCAAGAGGAAAGAAAAUUCCUCUUUUUACCAUUAUAUCUUCACAGUGGGCACCGACGUGUACAACAAGGGCUUAUGAGGGUUUUGAAAAUUGAUUUUUCGAUAUUGUUUUGGGCUUGGAAAACUACGGAAGCUGGGCUAUUGUUUCAGAUGGGUUCAGCUUCAGCCAACUUUUUUACCGUUUUACGAGAAAAGCGGAUCACAAGAGAAAGGCAUAGAGCGACCGAUUCAGAACUCAGAACCUAUAAGUGAUUAAAUAAAUAAAUCCCAUUUUCACCGCCAUAUCCAACAAACCCAACUCCUCAUUUGUUUUCCAUUCUCUAUCACUCUUCUUGAAGUUCCAUCUCCUUCUCGUUUCCGAGAAAGCUCAGGGAUGGAUACUUUUCUUUUCACCUCCGAAUCUGUUAAUGAAGGUCAUCCUGACAAACUAUGUGAUCAAGUCUCUGAUGCCAUUCUAGAUGCUUGUUUGGAGCAAGAUCCUGAAAGCAAGGUUGCCUGUGAGACAUGCACUAAGACAAAUAUGGUUAUGGUCUUUGGUGAGAUUACCACUAGUGCUAAGGUGGAUUAUGAGAAGAUUGUUCGUGAUACCUGCAGAGGCAUUGGUUUUGUGUCGGCCGAUGUUGGCCUUAAUGCUGAUAAUUGCAAGGUCCUUGUCAACCUUGAGCAACAGAGCCCUGAUAUUGCUCAGGGCGUCCAUGGUCACCUUAGCAAGAAACCUGAGGAGAUUGGUGCUGGGGACCAGGGUCACAUGUUUGGGUAUGCCACGGAUGAGACCCCAGAAUUGAUGCCAUUGACCCAUGUGCUUGCCACCAAGCUUGGAGCUAGGCUCACUGAGGUGAGAAAGAACAAAACAUGCCCGUGGUUGAGGCCUGAUGGCAAGACUCAAGUGACUAUUGAGUACCGGGAUGAAGGUGGAGCUAUGGUUCCACUCAGGGUUCACACUGUCCUCAUUUCAACUCAGCAUGAUGAGACUGUCACCAAUGAGAAGAUUGCUAAAGACCUGAAGGAGCAUGUGAUUAAGCCAGUUAUUCCACUCCAAUAUCUUGAUGACAAGACAAUCUUCCACCUUAACCCUUCAGGUCGGUUUGUCAUUGGAGGGCCCCAUGGAGAUGCAGGACUUACUGGUCGAAAGAUUAUUAUCGACACAUAUGGUGGAUGGGGAGCUCAUGGUGGAGGUGCCUUCUCAGGGAAGGAUCCCACUAAAGUGGACAGAAGUGGUGCAUAUAUUGUUAGACAGGCAGCAAAGAGUGUCGUGGCCUCAGGGCUUGCCAGGCGCUGUAUUGUGCAGGUUUCUUAUGCUAUCGGUGUGGCUGAACCACUUUCCGUGUUUGUUGACACAUACAAGACGGGAACAAUUCCCGACAAGGACAUUUUGGUUCUGAUCAAGGAGAACUUUGACUUCAGGCCUGGAAUGAUGUCAAUCAACCUUGAUUUGUUGAGAGGAGGCAACUACAGGUACCAGAAGACUGCAGCUUACGGUCACUUUGGCCGUGAUGACCCCGAUUUCACCUGGGAAACUGUCAAGGUCCUCAAGCCAAAAGCUUGAGUGUGAGGUCUUGCAUUACAAUUUUUUGGCCAGUUGAGUUUGUUUCUACUGGCCAUUAUUCUUGUCGCGGACCAAUAAACAAGCUUCAUCAUAUCAUACAUUGAUAUCGAUAUUGAUAUUUGUUUUCAAGGCUGCAUUGGUGCUGGAAGAAGACAACAAGCGUUUCUAUUCCGAGUCACUGAACAUUUGUUAUUUUCCUAUUUCUUUCUUCACCCUUUUCUGCAGUACCUUAUUUCUAUUUUGUAAUGGUUAUUGAGUAGCUAUAAUUUAAGUUCUCCUUGUUUUAUCCAAUUUAUAUAUCUUUUUAUCAUAGUCUGAUGAAAUUUGUUUAUUGUGAUCAUCUUAUCAUAAUGAGA